rnacentral:rRNA from 1 species
AACGAACGCUGGCGGCGUGGAUAAGACAUGCAAGUCGAACGGGAACUUCAGCUGUAGCAAUACAGUUGAAGUUUUAGUGGCGAACGGGUGCGUAACACGUGGGCAAUCUGCCGAGAAGUGGGGGAUAGCUCGCCGAAAGGCGAAUUAAUACCGCAUAUGAUCAGCUAAGACAUCUUAGCGACAUCAAAGCCGGGGCAACCUGGCGCUUUUUGAGGAGCCCGCGGCCUAUCAGCUAGUUGGUGAGGUAACGGCUCACCAAGGCUAUGACGGGUAGCUGGUCUGAGAGGACGACCAGUCACACUGGAACUGAGACACGGUCCAGACACCUACGGGUGGCAGCAGUCGAGUAAUUUUUCUCAAUGGGGCAACCCUGAAGGAGCGACGCCGCGUGGAGGAUG